GAUGACUAGCUUCGGGCUCGACCUCCAACCCUUUGUGAACACAACUUGUUGCUUCGGGGGCGACCCUGCCGUUUCGACGGCGAGCGCCCCCGGAGGCCUUCAAACACUGCAUCUUUGCGUCGGAGUUUAAGUAAAUUAAACAAAACUUUCAACAACGGAUCUCUUGGUUCUGGCAUCGAUGAAGAACGCAGCGAAAUGCGAUAAGUAAUGUGAAUUGCAGAAUUCAGUGAAUCAUCGAAUCUUUGAACGCACAUUGCGCCCCUUGGUAUUCCGAGGGGCAUGCCUGUUCGAGCGUCAUUUCACCACUCAAGCCUCGCUUGGUAUUGGGCGCCGCGGUGUUCCGCGCGCCUCAAAGUCUCCGGCUGAGCUGUCCGUCUCUAAGCGUUGUGAUUUCAUUAAUCGCUUCGGAGCGCGGGCGGUCGCGGCCGUUAAAUCUUUCACAAGGUUGACCUCGGAUCAGGUAGGGAUACCCGCUGAACUUAAGCAUAUCAAUAGCCCGGAGGAAGAUCAUUACUGAGUGAGGGCCUUCGGGCUCGACCUCCAACCUUUGUGAACACAACUUGUUGCUUCGGGGGCGACCUGCGUUUCUACGGCGAGCGCCCCGAGGCCUUCAAACACUGCAUCUUUGCGUCGGGAGAUUUAAGUAAAUUAAACAAAACUUUUCACAACGGAUCUCUUGGUUCUGGCAUCAUGAAGAACGCGGCAAAUGCGAGUAGUAAUGUGAAGUUGCAGAAGUCAGUGAUCAUCGUAUCUUUGACGCCAUUGCUUGCCUAUUCAGUCGCAUGCUGUUCAAGUUCAUGCACUCCUCCUAGCAUGGGCCCGGAUGUCCCACUCACGCUAACAUUACAUCUAAGUUGGAUUCAUUAAUCUCUGCAGCAGAGGCGGCUGACCGUUCUCGCGUCAUCG
rnacentral:rRNA from 1 species